GACGAACGCUGGCGGCGUGCUUAACACAUGCAAGUCGAACGGAAAGGCCUGCUUUCCCUUGUGGAUUGCGGGUACUCGAGUGGCGAACGGGUGAGUAACACGUGAGUGAUCUGCCCCCAACUUGGGUAUAAGCCUGGGAAACUGGGUCUAAUUCCCGAUAGGACUGCAGGGUGGUGCCUGUGGUGGAAAACGAUUUUCUAGUGGUUGGGGAUGAGCUCGCGGCCUAUCAGCUUGUUGGUGGGGUAAUGGCCUACCACGGCGGCGACGGGUAGCCGGCCUGGGAGGGUGGACGGCCACAUUGGGACUGAGAUACGGCCCAGACUCCUACGGGAGGCAGCAGUGGGGAAGAGUGCACAAUGGGCGGAAGCCUGAUGCAGCGACGCCGCGUGGGGGAUGACGGCCUGCGGGUGGUAAACUCCUUUCGACCGCGAGGAAGCCACCUGGUUGGAAGGGUGGUGACGGUAGUGGUAGAAGAAGCACCGGCUAACUACGUG
rnacentral:rRNA from 1 species